GGUCAUUCGCCUAAGCCUGUGAGACAUGUCAACUAAGUAUCUAAAUUUUCCUAAAUAGAUGGAUCCUCUACACAAUUAUCAUUAUUAUCCAUGACCUAUUGUCCUGCAAAGAAAAACAUAAAAGAAAACUGGCAAGAACAGCAAAACUAAACCCAUGCAAUUGCUUUAGCCCCACAAUGUGUUCAAACUAUUUACUAUCAAUUUGGGAUUGUUAAAU
rnacentral:lncRNA from 1 species